rnacentral:lncRNA from 1 species
ACACCUUCGACCAUCUUGACAUUAACCAUUUGUGAUCAAUAUUUUAAGGAAAAAGGAGAAUAUUGUAAAGUAAGAAUAUAUAUUUAUUUUCUAUGCUUCCUUUAGAUCGUUUUUGGUCACGAGCAUCACUGAAGAGACAUGUAUUGUCGAAAUACGCAUCUGGUGCAAGAAAAUUGGUACCGUUAAUUUUAUUGCAGAAACUUUUCAAAUUAUUUUCAAAAUUAGUGUAUGAUGUUGAUUUAAAUAAGAAAUGCCAAAUAGUAUGUGUGGCUACUCGUCAUGCUGUUUGAUAUCGACUUUGAGCUAUCAUCCUAUCAGCCUUCAGAAGACAUACAGAAGGUCAAUACAAAAAAGCGUGUCGUGUAGAUGAACACCGAUAUCACACAAAGCUUAUGCGAGAGCUAUACUGCCAAAAACCAUUAAACAUGUGGACAUUUGCUAGUCUUAAUCUCAGGACUUGCUUCUUAGAUUAUAUCAUUGUCAAAAACAAAUUUCGGGCACAACUGGUCAUUUUACAGGUAAAAGAAAUUCAAUUAAAUCUAAUAACUAGUGACACUAUAUAGCUAGUUAUAAAGAUGAAUCUUAAUUUUGAAACGGAUAUGGUUCUCUUUGUCCAAGUAUAAUGUGUGCGUAUUUUUUUAAUGUUUAUAAAAUGGUAGAUGAAUAAAGUGAAACCGGGUUUUAAAAAAGUUAUGACCUAAUUCAUCUUUCCGUAAAUGAGCAUAUUUUAGCAUUGUUGUUGAUAUUUUACAAUCGAUGUUGGUAAGUUGUUGCAUAUAACAUAGUAGUAAAAUGCGUACCAAAAUGUUAUACUUUGUUCAGUUUGAGGAAUAUUUUACGUUGUACCAGAUACAUUCAUUUUAUCUCUUUUAUUACUCAUGAAAGAUAUUAAGCUAAUAAUUUAUUAAGUUAGAGGCGCAUUUUCUGCUUUGUACUAGAAUAGCAAUUCGAAUACGAUGAUGAAGAGCACUGACAAAAAUUUAAAAAAAUCGAAAAGACGGGCCCAAUACGGCUAGGACCGUCUCUUUCUUAAAUCGAAAAUCUGGAGUAUUUCGAAUAAUAAAUAAUGAUAAACAGCAAAUUUACUUAUAACUACCAUUAAUUUAAAUGAAGAUUAUGUACUUUUAUAUUCACAGAUCAGAAUGAAACUGAUACUUGCUUUGUCUCUGUUUCUUGGAUAUGUCACUUGGUAUGUACAAAAUGUAUAAUAAAAAAAAAUAUAUACAUUAAAAAUUGUGUACGUCCAAAGUACUUUUAGAGACUAACCUAACCAAGAACGCGCAAACCAGAACAUUUAAAAGCCAAUUAUGUAUAAAGGCGGACACAUAUUAGAGCUUAAAACAUAUAGGACAUUAAAAGAAGAGAGCCAAAUUCAUUUACUUUGUCUAAGGACGACUGAAUCUUAGAUUCUCAGUAAUUUCUCAAUUUUUUAACAGGGAAUUUUGAAAAAAGUAUGUUCUAAAUCGUGUCCGUACCCCAGCAAUGACUAUUGCGCUAGUUAUAAAUUCAGAGACUAACAGAUCUAGUACGGCGUACAUUUAUAUUAUCUUUUUCUAAAUUUUGCUAUUAAAUCUAGAUAACAUGUCAAAUGCAUGUAAAAAAAUGUUAGGUUGUUACAAUUUAUUUCAACAAAGAAGCACAGAAGAAUUGAUUACGAUGCAUAUAUGCAACAUGUGUCAUCUAUAAUUGAAGAGAGCAUCUAUAUUUUUUAUAAUCAUGUUUCCCUAUUACAUUAAACUGAAUAAUACUGUAAAUUUAAAAUCAUUGCAAGGCUUUUAUUAAUCCGAAUAAGGCGACUUGGUAAAAAGUAAAAUCACAAAACUUCUGACCCCGAGAUAAAUUCAAAACGAGAAAUUCCCUAAUCAAAUGGCACAAUCAAAAGCUUAAACACACCAAACGAAUGGAUAACAACUGUCAUAUUCCUGACUUGGUACAGGCAUUUUCUUAUGUAGAAAAUGGUGGACUAAACUUGAUUUUAUAGCUAGAUGAACCUGUUACUUGUAUGACAGUUGUAUGCUAGUAAAUAUUAAAAUAAUAUGAACCUGUAUUUUGAUAUAUGAUACUGAGUUGUAUGUAGAUUUCUCUGAAAUCACAAUAAGUUAUCUCGAAUCUUUAUUCAUUUUUUAAUCGCAAUAAUAAUAGCAUACAAUAAGUUUGAAAUCUAAAGUAAAUGAAUGAACUAAUGUGGGUUGUUUAUCUCCGUUUUAUUAGAAGUUUAACUAAGUCUUACCCUUUGAGUCCAAGCCUGGCAGUUCGCUAAAUUAUGUGUUUCCAAACUUGUUUCAAAGCAUUUACAAUCAGUUCGUACAAGUCAAGUGAGAGGUUUAGCGCUGUAAAAUUUACCGAUUUUCUACAUUUGAAAAUGCCUGUACCAAAGUCAGGAAUAUCACAGCUGUUUUCCGUUCUUUUGAUGUGUUUGAUCACUUAUUUUGCCAUUUGAUUAGGGACUUCGCGUUUUAAAUUUUCCGCGGAGUUCGGUAUUUUUGUGAUUUUACUUCUUACUUUGUAUUGCAGUCAGACCAUCCAUGGUCAUGAACUGAAAGUAUUGGCUCAGAGUCAGUUUAAUGGCUUUGAUCACGAUCACAAUGGUAUUCUAGAGAUGGCCGAAUUUGAAGCUUCUGUUCAUGGCACUGACACCAAUGGUUUGUAUUCUUACAUCAUUUAUGGAAUAUUGUGUCGUGAAUUUUGAAAUGACAACAUACUAUAAAUUCAUAAAAAAAAUCACCAGUGAAAUGCUAACAUGACAGUGGUCAUUGAGGUACAAGUAAUAAUUAUUUUAACUCUUGUGUUACACAUUUGCUCUGGCACACUUUUAAACUUCUUAUGUUAGAGAAUAUCGAGCUUUAAAAAUUUCAGGAAAUAAUUGACUUCUGAUUAUUAUCAUCAAAAAGUACACGUAAAAGAAAAACAUAAAUUUAUCAUAGAUACCACGAUUACAAGUUUGUACAAAAGACCCGAACAAAAUACAAACCUGAAAAAUUUCGAAAUUUAAAUAAAGUAUAUUGAAUUGGUAAGUUGGUUGAAAAUGAAUAUAUAAACUUUGAAAAUAAUAGAAAAUUUAACUCCUUUUUACAAUUCGUUCAUUAAACACACGAAGACAGGCAGUUUCUUAUUGUUAAAAAAAAUUGCCGAGCAUGUAAUAAUUUGUUAUAUACAAGACUCCAAUAUCAUUUAGUACACAGUAAAGGGUUUAAUUUAUGACGUACUCAACAAGUUUGGCAAAAACAUGACAUUGUUCAAAGCCAAAAUAUCAUUACAUUAUAUAUAUUGACAGGAUGUAAGACCACGAGUUUUCAACUUCGUACUUUAUUUGGUCUAUUUAACUUAAUUUUAUUUGAAUGUCACUAUUGAGUCUUUUGUAAACGAAAAACGCGUUUGGCGCGGAUACAAAGUUUAAGUCCUGUUAUUUAUGAUGAGCUUAUUUCUCAUAAAUGUAUGGCAAACAUUAUACUACAUAUUUAUGUUUUGAUUUAUCAAAAUCAAAAUCAAUGUAAGCACUUACAAAAAAUGUUACUCAAAUAUCUUGAUAUUGUGUUGAAUUGGUAUCCUUUAAGAACAAGUUUGUUGAAAGAAUAUGACGCUUCAGUCCUAAUAUGCCUAGUAUCACUUUACUCGUCUAUUCUUAAACCUCGUCUAUCUUUAAAUUUGAUCGUUUUAAAAAGAUUGAAGACUUUUUUUUCAGUUUUAAUUGUCAAAUACAUCAGUCGUAAGACGAACCUUUUACAUAAUCCUAUUCUCCUAGAUUUUGUUAUUCUCGCUUGUUACCUAUUGUAUCUCCUUAAAUAUUUUUUGGAUUUGAUCAUCGUUUAAGAACAACUCAUGCUUUUUAAGCUUAGAUUUUUUAAAGUACCCUGAUACAAAAUGUACAAUAAAGCUUCUAAAAUGGUAGUACUAAAUGUAAUUUUUUUCAACGCUAGCACUUUAAUCAAAAUUAAUUUAUUAAACUGUUAACUCCUGCUGGUGUGAUCACGAUAAUCAAGUCAUAAUCAAUUGCAUAUUCGUACUCAUUCUUUAAUAUUAUUUUAUAAAGAUAUAUAUACUUAUCAUAUACUUAGCAUUGAUAUGAUAGCUUUUGCAUAUGUGUAAUGAGCGGAAGUGUACAAGCCAUAAUUUCCCACCCGGGCUGAUAACCCAUAUCAGGUGCAUCUCGUGCACAAAACCCAUAAUAGUGCAUCUCGUGCAAGUUACUUCUGGUGUUUCCGGUAUCGGUUGUUUACUUUCCCAUUGUGACGUCAGAUGUUUUUAAAUUUACGGGAACUUUUGUGGGGAUAGUUUAGUACUUGCUAACAAAUGCCAUUGCCAAUUAUGAAUCAUUUUAUAGAACAACAAACAUGGAGUAGUAAUGAUCAUAAAACUCUUCAAAAUUUUCAAUGUUUCAAAAUGCCACUAUAAGAAAUGCUACAAUAAAUAUAUAAGGAGGUAGUGAUGCUGUUGUUGGACAAUUAUAGUAUAUUUGAUUCGUAAUUUAUUUUCUUUAUAAAGUUUUUGACUGUUUUAGUUAUUGCAUAUGUUUAUUUGCCUUACAUAAAACUAUUGUUGGAAGUAUAUGAUAAAGAGAUAAAUACAUGGCCUUUUCCAUAUCAGCUUGGGUAUCAUCCCUCGACCCAUAUCAGCACCUCGUCUCCAUCUCGGGUUGCUAUGGGGGUCUCGUGAUGAUACCCAGGCUGAUAUGGAAAAGGCCAUGUAUUAAUCUCUAUAUAUUAUGUUUGAAUUAUGAUGAUCAUUGCAUAUCAAAAUCAAAUUAAAUUUGAAAUUAAUUCACAGGUGAUGGAAACGUAACUUGUGCUGAAUAUGCAGCUGCAACUUCACAACCACAUGCUCUAGCACUUGAGAUUUUCCACCAUUAUGAUCAAGAUGGAGAUUGUAUCAUGAGUCAUGCAGAUGCAUUGGCUACACUUCGUCAAAUCGACCAAAACGGUAUUUAUGUAUUGAUAACACCUUAUAUAAGAAAGCCAGAAUUUGAUUGGUUGAUAGCCAGUGUAAAAAUCGACCAAAACGGUAUUUAUGUAUUAAUAACACCUUAUAUAGAAAAGCCAAAUUUGAUUGUUGAUAGCAGUGUAAAAAUCGACCAAAACGGUUAUUUGUAUUAAUAAACACUUAUAUAAGAAAGCCAGAUUUUGAUUGGUUGAUAGCCAGUGUAAAAAUCGACCAAAACGGUAUUUAUGUAUUAAUAACACCUUAUAUAAGAAAGCCAGAUUUUGAUUGGUUGAUAGCCAGUGUAUUUUUCGCAUAUUCUAAUAUUUUUGCCUCAUUUCAAACAAAUUGCCUGUUUUUCACCACUGCCGGUGAAUAUGCAUCAAAUGCAUGGCAGUGGUGAAAAACACUAGCGGCUUGGGAAAUUUUACAGUCCCUUGACUGGUUUUUUUUUCGCAAAUGCCCCUCCUUAACAUAAUAUAUCUGUUCAAUAUACGAAAUUAUUUUAAGUAAAACGCUAUUCGCACUCGUGUCGUUAUAUUUUAGAUUGAUUUGUAAUCGUUUUAUUACGCCAUAUUUGUUUUUUUUUUCAAUUUCUUCCACUUUCUUUGUCUACAAAUCCAAUAUUUGAUAUUAAUUCUUACGGACAGAGAACAUAUAUCUUUAGUUAUGAACUUUAUAUAUAGAAUAUUCUCCCAUAUGUUGAGUUUAAGUUUUGUACCAAAUGUAGACACUAGAAAAGGUUACGAAAAUGUAUUUGCCGUUGAGCCAUCUAAGCGCGGUCACAAAUUAUUUCUUUAAUUGCAAAAUUGGAACGAGAAACCAAAUCUUUGCUUAGAUGACCAAACUGCAAACAAAUACUUCAACAAAUGAAACUAAAAAAAAUCCUUUUUUAAACAGGUGAUGGAACUGUGAAUGAACACGAGUUUGAACAUUAUUACACACAGGUAAAGUCUAAAUAAUUUACAUGGUGCAGAACACAUUGUUAAAUACCAAACUUAUUUCUAUUAAUUGCACAUGUAUCUAAUUUGUAAUAAUUUUGAAUAUCAGUGAAUUAAAACAUUUGGAAUUACAUGUGAGAACUUUUAUUCGUGUUUAAAGUAAAAGAUGUGUUUAAUCAUUUGAUUAGGGACUUUCCGUUUUGAAUUUCCUCGGAGUUCAGUAUUUUUGUGAUUUUACUUUACUGAAGGGUAUUGAUUUGACUUCUCAUUUGUUUGAUACAUCUUCCGGUAUGUGAUUAUACUUAUUUAUUUCUUGUCAUCUGUAGAUAAUGAAGCAUCUUGGACAUAUUCCACACGGCCAUAAUGGAAGAUAAGGUAAUUUUAGUGUUCCUUUUUUCUAUUGAUAUAUUAUUAAAAACAUGACAUGUCUUC